rnacentral:rRNA from 1 species
AUUGAACGCUGGCGGCAGGCUUAACACAUGCAAGUCGAACGAGUGGAGGACGGGUGAGUAAUGCUUGGGAAUCUAGCUUAUGGAGGGGGAUAACUACGGGAAACUGUAGCUAAUACCGCGUACCAUCAGAUGAGCCAAAGUGGGCUUAGGUAGUUGGUGAGGUAAAGGAUCACCAAGCCGACGAUCUCUAGCUGGUCGGAGAGGAUGAGCAGCCACACUGGUACUGAGACACGGCCCAGACUCCUACGGUAGGCAGCAGUGGGGAAUAUUGCGCAAUGGGGGCAACCCUGACGCAGCCAUGCCGCGUGAAUGAAGAAGGCCUUAGGGUUGUAAAGUACUUUCAGCGGGGAGGCGUUACCCGCAGAAGAAGCACCGGCUAACUCCGUGCCAGCCGCCGCGGUAAUUC